UACGUAGGGGGCAAGCGUUGUCCGGAUUAUUGGGCGUAAAGAGCGUGUAGGCGGCCAAGCAGGUCCGCUGUGAAAACUCGAGGCUCAACCUCGAGACGUCGGUGGAAACCGUUUGGCUAGAGUCCGGAAGAGGAGAGUGGAAUUCCCGGUGUAGCGGUGAAAUGCGCAGAUAUCGGGAAGAACACCCGUGGCGAAGGCGGCUCUCUGGGACGGUACUGGACGC
rnacentral:rRNA from 1 species